rnacentral:lncRNA from 1 species
UGAAAUUUUUGGGGCUGUCAGGAAGAGAAAAGGGGAAGGAGCGUCUAGGUGAAAUGAGCUGUGUAGUCCUUUAGAGCCUCUGGACAGAAGGAGCAGAACAGGCUUUGCUUCAUUCCUGAGGUCUACCAGAGCCUCUCACUUAAUGGAAAGAAGAAGCUAAUCUGGAGGAAGAGAACACUGACAAACACCAUUGCAGAGGGAGCCCAUGACAGUACUUCUGCCCCUCCCACCUUUGAGGACUGUUGAGGAGCCAGAACAAAAGGUGAAGGAGAAAGUAUCAGGGUAAUAAUAUCAAUGAUGAGGACAAAAAGGCAAGAAGAAUAAAAUGAAGAUGCAAAGCAGGAAGCAGUGAAUGAGAAAAAGCUGUAACAGGCAGAAAGUAGCUACCCAUGGCUCUAAUACUAAGACCCAAGAAUAUGUAAAUAAACAAUUAUUCCACCAAGAAAGAAGGAGCAAGAGGAAAGCACGAAGACAAACAAAAUAUAAAGAAUAUCUUACACUCUGAAGGUUACAGAAUAUCACAAGCUACAUCAUGCCUCAAAUUCACAACCACACUAUUCAUUCUAUGCAGAAAAUAGCUGCUAGAAUUUCAACCUCAGUUCAAGUCCCUCCAUCAAAUCUCUCUAGGCUUGAUACCUUGUAAUCUGCGACCUACACACAUACAGACCAGAGCCCAGACCCCCAAAACCAGUUCAAAUAUCAAUUGCUACAGUAUGUUAAAUGAUUCUGCUCUAGAGAAGAGAGUGAAAACAAAGAAGGGCUGGUAAUACAUCAUCUCUAAGAAUUUAGCUUGGCGUAAGUGUGCCUGUGACUAAGCUGGGUAAGAAGCACUUGGCAAAUUCCCAACACAGCAUCAGAGACGAGAGGUGCCUAAUGAACAGUGGUUCUCAACUGGGAGAGCACUGUGUUCACCCUGGGGCUAUCGUGGCAAUGUCUGAAGAAAUUUGGGGUUGUCACAUCUGGGGUGGUGCUGCUGACAUCUAGUGAGCAGAGGCCAGAGACGCUGCUAAGCAUCCUACAAUGUACAGGAGAACCCCACGCAGCAAAGAAUUAUCCAGCCAGAAAUGUAAAUAGUGCCAAGACUGAGAAAGAAAGAACAACAUCACUGGAUACAACAGAACUUCUCCACAGCAUCAAAUAAACUUUUAGACAACCCUUUAUAAAUAAAAAUGGGACUUUCCCUUGCAUUUGUACUCUGAAUUAUCUUACGCUUUACUCCAUACCUCUAAACAGUUUAAUAGGGGAUAGGCACUAUAGCGCCAAAGGAAUGUUUUCUCUUGUCCCUGCAACGAUGGUAGUCUGAUGUCCCAGAAAGGAAGGAAAGUUAGUUUCUCUUUUCCUUGACUCUCAGAUCUGGGCUCCUUCACA